UUUAUGGAGAGUUUGAUCCUGGCUCAGGAUGAACGCUGGCGGCGUGCCUAAUACAUGCAAGUCGAGCGAACGGACGAGAAGCUUGCUUCUCUGAUGUUAGCGGCGGACGGGUGAGUAACACGUGGAUAACCUACCUAUAAGACUGGGAUAACUUCGGGAAACCGGAGCUAAUACCGGAUAAUAUUUUGAACCGCAUGGUUCAAAAGUGAAAGACGGUCUUGCUGUCACUUAUAGAUGGAUCCGCGCUGCAUUAGCUAGUUGGCAAGGUAACGGCUUACCAAGGCAACGAUGCAUAGCCGACCUGAGAGGGUGAUCGGCCACACUGGAACUGAGACACGGUCCAGACUCCUACGGGAGGCAGCAGUAGGGAAUCUUCCGCAAUGGGCGAAAGCCUGACGGAGCAACGCCGCGUGAGUGAUGAAGGUCUUCGGAUCGUAAAACUCUGUUAUUAGGGAAGAACAUAUGUGUAAGUAACUGUGCACAUCUUGACGGUACCUAAUCAGAAAGCCACGGCUAACUACGUGCCAGCAGCCGCGGUAAUACGUAGGUGGCAAGCGUUAUCCG
rnacentral:rRNA from 1 species